rnacentral:misc_RNA from 1 species
UAAUAAGUGUUUUAUGGCACUUUUUAAAUCCAUAUCCACCUUGUGUGCAAUGUCAGUCGAUCUUCUUCAUGGAGAUCGACCAAACAUCAACCUUUAUCUUUUAACUCUUUGUCUGAAAAAUAUUAUGAACAAACAAUUCAAAAUA